rnacentral:rRNA from 1 species
AACGAACGCUGGCGGCAGGCUUAACACAUGCAAGUCGAACGCCCUCUUCGGAGGGAGUGGCAGACGGGUGAGUAACGCGUGGGAACCUACCUUUCGGUACGGAACAACAGUUGGAAACGACUGCUAAUACCGUAUACGUCCUUCGGGAGAAAGAUUUAUCGCCGAUAGAGGGGCCCGCGUUGGAUUAGCUUGUUGGUGAGGUAACGGCUCACCAAGGCGACGAUCCGUAGCUGGUCUGAGAGGAUGAUCAGCCACACUGGGACUUAGACACGGCCCAG